UUAAGCGACUAAGCGUACACGGUGGAUGCCCUGGCAGUCAGAGGCGAUGAAGGACGUGCUAAUCUGCGAAAAGCGUCGGUAAGGUGAUAUGAACCGUUAUAACCGGCGAUGUCCGAAUGGGGAAACCCAGUGUGAUUCGUCACACUAUCGUUAACUGAAUACAUAGGUUAACGAGGCGAACCGGGGGAACUGAAACAUCUAAGUACCCCGAGGAAAAGAAAUCAACCGAGAUUCCCCCAGUAGCGGCGAGCGAACGGGGAGCAGCCCAGAGUCUGAAUCAGCUUGUGUGUUAGUGGAACGGUCUGGAAAGUCCGACGGUACAGGGUGAUAGUCCCGUACACCAAAAUGCACAGGCUGUGAACUCGAAGAGUAGGGCGGGACACGUGGUAUCCUGUCUGAAUAUGGGGGGACCAUCCUCCAAGGCUAAAUACUCCUGACUGACCGAUAGUGAACCAGUACCGUGAGGGAAAGGCGAAAAGAACCCCGGCGAGGGGAGUGAAAAAGAACCUGAAACCGUGUACGUACAAGCAGUGGGAGCACCUUCGGGUGUGACUGCGUACCUUUUGUAUAAUGGGUCAGCGACUUAUAUUCUGUAGCAAGGUUAACCGUAUAGGGGAGCCGCAGGGAAACCGAGUCUUAACUGGGCGUUAAGUUGCAGGGUAUAGACCCGAAACCCGGUGAUCUAGCCAUGGGCAGGUUGAAGGUUGGGUAACACUAACUGGAGGACCGAACCGACUAAUGUUGAAAAAUUAGCGGAUGACUUGUGGCUGGGGGUGAAAGGCCAAUCAAACCGGGAGAUAGCUGGUUCUCCCCGAAAGCUAUUUAGGUAGCGCCUCGUGAACUCAUCUUCGGGGGUAGAGCACUGUUUCGGCUAGGGGGUCAUCCCGACUUACCAACCCGAUGCAAACUACGAAUACCGAAGAAUGUUAUCACGGGAGACACACGGCGGGUGCUAACGUCCGUCGUGAAGAGGGAAACAACCCAGACCGCCAGCUAAGGUCCCAAAGUCAUGGUUAAGUGGGAAACGAUGUGGGAAGGCACAGACAGCCAGGAUGUUGGCUUAGAAGCAGCCAUCAUUUAAAGAAAGCGUAAUAGCUCACUGGUCGAGUCGGCCUGCGCGGAAGAUGUAACGGGGCUAAACCAUGCACCGAAGCUGCGGCAGCGACACUAUGUGUUGUUGGGUAGGGGAGCGUUCUGUAAGCCUGCGAAGGUGACCUGUGAGGGUUGCUGGAGGUAUCAGAAGUGCGAAUGCUGACAUAAGUAACGAUAAAGCGGGUGAAAAGCCCGCUCGCCGGAAGACCAAGGGUUCCUGUCCAACGUUAAUCGGGGCAGGGUGAGUCGACCCCUAAGGCGAGGCCGAAAGGCGUAGUCGAUGGGAAACAGGUUAAUAUUCCUGUACUUGGUGUUACUGCGAAGGGGGGACGGAGAAGGCUAUGUUAGCCGGGCGACGGUUGUCCCGGUUUAAGCAUGUAGGCUGGUUGUCCAGGCAAAUCCGGAUAAUCAAGGCUGAGGUGUGAUGACGAGGCACUACGGUGCUGAAGUAACAAAUGCCCUGCUUCCAGGAAAAGCCUCUAAGCAUCAGGUAACAUCAAAUCGUACCCCAAACCGACACAGGUGGUCAGGUAGAGAAUACCAAGGCGCUUGAGAGAACUCGGGUGAAGGAACUAGGCAAAAUGGUGCCGUAACUUCGGGAGAAGGCACGCUGGUGUGUAGGUGAAGUCCCUGCGGAUGGAGCUGAGACCAGUCGAAGAUACCAGCUGGCUGCAACUGUUUAUUAAAAACACAGCACUGUGCAAACACGAAAGUGGACGUAUACGGUGUGACGCCUGCCCGGUGCCGGAAGGUUAAUUGAUGGGGUUAUCCGUAAGGAGAAGCUCUUGAUCGAAGCCCCGGUAAACGGCGGCCGUAACUAUAACGGUCCUAAGGUAGCGAAAUUCCUUGUCGGGUAAGUUCCGACCUGCACGAAUGGCGUAAUGAUGGCCAGGCUGUCUCCACCCGAGACUCAGUGAAAUUGAACUCGCUGUGAAGAUGCAGUGUACCCGCGGCAAGACGGAAAGACCCCGUGAACCUUUACUAUAGCUUGACACUGAACAUUGAGCCUUGAUGUGUAGGAUAGGUGGGAGGCUUUGAAGCGUGGACGCCAGUCUGCGUGGAGCCAACCUUGAAAUACCACCCUUUAAUGUUUGAUGUUCUAACGUUGGCCCCUUACCGGGGUUGCGGACAGUGUCUGGUGGGUAGUUUGACUGGGGCGGUCUCCUCCCAAAGCGUAACGGAGGAGCACGAAGGUUAGCUAAUCCUGGUCGGACAUCAGGAGGUUAGUGCAAUGGCAUAAGCUAGCUUGACUGCGAGCGUGACGGCGCGAGCAGGUGCGAAAGCAGGUCAUAGUGAUCCGGUGGUUCUGAAUGGAAGGGCCAUCGCUCAACGGAUAAAAGGUACUCCGGGGAUAACAGGCUGAUACCGCCCAAGAGUUCAUAUCGACGGCGGUGUUUGGCACCUCGAUGUCGGCUCAUCACAUCCUGGGGCUGAAGUAGGUCCCAAGGGUAUGGCUGUUCGCCAUUUAAAGUGGUACGCGAGCUGGGUUUAGAACGUCGUGAGACAGUUCGGUCCCUAUCUGCCGUGGGCGCUGGAGAAUUGAGGGGGGCUGCUCCUAGUACGAGAGGACCGGAGUGGACGCAUCACUGGUGUUCGGGUUGUCAUGCCAAUGGCACUGCCCGGUAGCUAAAUGCGGAAGAGAUAAGUGCUGAAAGCAUCUAAGCACGAAACUUGCCCCGAGAUGAGUUCUCCCUGAGACUUUAAGUCUCCUGAAGGAACGUUGAAGACGACGACGUUGAUAGGCCGGGUGUGUAAGCGCAGCGAUGCGUUGAGCUAACCGGUACUAAUGAACCGUGAGGCUUAACCU
rnacentral:rRNA from 1 species